UGGGGAAUUUUGGACAAUGGGCGAAAGCCUGAUCCAGCAAUGCCGCGUGCAGGAUGAAGGCCUUCGGGUUGUAAACUGCUUUUGUACGGAACGAAAAAGCUUCUCCUAAUACGAGAGGCCCAUGACGGUACCGUAAGAAUAAGCACCGGCUAACUACGUG
rnacentral:rRNA from 1 species